rnacentral:lncRNA from 1 species
UCACCAACCAGGUGAUCAAAAGUACGUCCAGUACUCCAAAAUUAUUCGGCAGCCUACCACUAUUAUCACCAACUAGGUGAUCAAAAGUACGUCCAGUACUCAAAAAUUAUUCGGCACCUUUCCGCUAUUAUCACCAACCAGGUGAUCAAAAGUACGCCCAGUACUCCAAAAUUAUUCGACAACCUGCCACUAUUAUCACCAACCAGGUGAUCAAAAGUACGUCCAGUACUCCAAAAUUAUGCAUGAGCAUCACUCAUGUCAAUCAUACAUAAACAUUCAUGAGCAUCACUUAUGUCAAUCAUACAUAAACAUUCAUGAGCAUCAUUCAUGUCAACAUUCAUGAGCAUCACUCAUGUCAACAUUCAUGAGCAUCACUCAUGUCAACAUCCAUGAGCAUCACUCAUGUCAAUCAACAUAAACAUUCAUGAGCAUCACUCAUGUCAAUCAGCUUCGAAAGCUUCAUUUACAGAGCUCCAGCUUCGAGAGCUUCAGCUUCAAAAGCUUCAUUUACAAAAGCUCCAUCUUCAAAGCUUCACUUGCAAAGCUUCACCUACAAAACUUUAGUGCAGGGUAUAUAAAUACCACCUCCGAACAACCGCCAUUUCGACCCAUACAUGGAUUGAAUUUGAAGUCUCCAGCCAACAUCCUCUAUUGAUUGAAAACUUGAGGGACUACAUUAUGUACUAUAUAUUGGGCCUUAACUGGGCCUCAUGAAAAAUACUUGGGGGACUUAACCCAUUAUUUAUGUAUUGAGGAGCGAGCCCUUAUUUUAUAAAAGGGACUCCCUCACUUUCAUUAAAGAGCACCUAUUA